rnacentral:rRNA from 1 species
GAUGAACGCUGGCGGCGUGCCUAAUACAUGCAAGUCGAGCGAACGGACGAGAAGCUUGCUUCUCUGAUGUUAGCGGCGGACGGGUGAGUAACACGUGGAUAACCUACCUAUAAGACUGGGAUAACUUCGGGAAACCGGAGCUAAUACCGGAUAAUAUUUUGAACCGCAUGGUUCAAAAGUGAAAGACGGUCUUGCUGUCACUUAUAGCUGGAUCCGCGCUGCAUUAGCUAGUUGGUAAGGUAACGGCUUACCAAGGCAACGAUGCAUAGCCGACCUGAGAGGGUGAUCGGCCACACUGGAACGGAGACACGGUCCAGACUCCUACGGGAGGCAGCAGUAGGGAAUCUUCCGCAAUGGGCGAAAGCCUGACGGAGCAACGCCGCGUGAGUGAUGAAGGUCUUCGGAUCGUAAAACUCUGUUAUUAGGGAAGAACAUAUGUGUAAGUAACUGUGCACAUCUUGACGGUACCUAAUCAGAAAGCCACGGCUAACUACGUG